rnacentral:rRNA from 1 species
CUGGCGGCGUGCCUAACACAUGCAAGUCGAACGAGAAAGUCCCGCAAGGGAUGAGUACAGUGGCGUACGGGUGAGUAACACGUAGCUAACCUACCCUCGAGUGGGGAAUAACCUGGGGAAACUCGGGCUAAUACCGCAUAACACCCGGAUUACAUCGGUAGUCUGGGGCAAGGGUCCGCAAGGAUCGCUUGAGGAGGGGGCUGCGGCCGAUUAGCUAGUUGGUGAGGUAACGGCCCACCAAGGCAACGAUCGGUAGCCGGCCUGAGAGGGCGCACGGCCACACUGGCACUGAAACACGGGCCAGACUCCUACGGGAGGCAGCAGUGGGGAAUUUUGCACAAUGCCCGAAAGGGUGAUGCAGCAACGCCGCAUGAGGGAUGAAGGCCUUCGGGUCGUAAACCUCUUUCGACCGGGAAAAACGGGCGGGUGAAGAGCCUGCUUUGAUGGUACCGGUGGAAGAAGCCCCGGCUAACUACGUGCCAGCAGCCGCGGUAAUACGUAGGGGGCGAGCGUNGUUCGGAAUUACUGGGCGUAAAGGGCGUGUA